GAUGAACGCUGGCGGCGUGCUUAACACAUGCAAGUCGAACGGACAGACCCGGAGUUUGUUCCGCUGUCGUGUGCGGCGCGCGGGUGUAUAACAUGUGGAUAAUCCACUUCUCUUACGGGGAUAACUUCGGGAAUGCGGAUCUUAUAGCGGAGAAUCUAUUGAACCGUAUGGUUCAAUAGUGAUUGUCGGUUUUGCUGUCACUUAUCGAUGGAUCCGCGCCGCAUUAGCGAGUUGGUAUGGUAACGGCUUGCCAGGGGGACGAUGCGUGGCCGGCGUGUGAGGGGGUUCGCCGACACUGGAGGUGAGACACGGACCUGAGACCUAGGGGAGGCACAAGUAGGGAAUGGUGGGCAAUGGGGGAAAGCUUGACGGAGCAACGCGGCGUGAGUGAUGAGGGUCUUCGGGUCGUAAAACUCUGUUAUUGGGGGAGAACAAAUGUGUAAGGAACUAUGCACGUCGUGACGGUACCUGGUCAAGAAGCCACGGCUAACUACGUG
rnacentral:rRNA from 1 species